UGGACGAGUCCGGAAUCGAACCGGAGACCUCUCCCAUGCUAAGGGAGCGCGCUACCGACUACGCCACACGCCC
rnacentral:tRNA from 1 species